rnacentral:rRNA from 1 species
CUGAAAGCAUCUAAGCACGAAACUUGCCCCGAGAUGAGUUCUCCCUGACUCCUUGAGAGUCCUGAAGGAACGUUGAAGACGACGACGUUGAUAGGCCGGGUGUGUAAGCGCAGCGAUGCGUUGAGCAAUGCCCGGUAGCUAAAUGCGGAAGAGAUAAGUGCUGAAAGCAUCUAAGCACGAAACUUGCCCCGAGAUGAGUUCUCCCUGACUCCUUGAGAGUCCUGAAGGAACGUUGAAGACGACGACGUUGAUAGGCCGGGUGUGUAAGCGCAGCGAUGCGUUGAGCUAACCGGUACUAAUGAACCGUGAGGCUUAACCUUACAACGCCGAAG